CACCGCCCGUCACACCAUGGAAGCCAGUUGUACCGGAAGUCGGUGCGCUAACCUGCAAAGGAGGCAGUCGCCCAUGGUAUGACUGGGGACUGGGGUG
rnacentral:rRNA from 1 species